rnacentral:lncRNA from 1 species
CUGUGAAGAAGAAACACUUAGCAGUAAACUUGGCCUUACCUUGGGUUUUGCUUGUGUGGCAGUGGGACUCAUGAGGAAUUCUGGAUUGCUGCUAUGUCAUGCACAAUUAGUGGAGAACUAAGGUGUGGAAUAUCGUCUUUCUCAUGCCCUACAAAAAACUCAAUGAAGAAAGCAUUUGAUUCACUGGAAUAAAACUAAGAACUUGGAUUUUGAAUAUGGAAAACAAAUUGCUGAUCAUGUUCUUAAUUGAGUGUGUGACGGUCAUGUACCUGAAAACCUAUCAACUCAACAGAGAAGAAAAACAAUGUCUGAUGCUCUCAUCUUCCUUUGAAACCCAUUGCUUUGAAACCUAAUGUUUUUUGCUCAGAUCAGUGCACUCUAAUUAGCUUCUGG